rnacentral:tRNA from 1 species
GGCCAGUUAGCUCAGUCGGUUAGAGUAUGGUGCUGAUAACACCAAGGUCAUGGGUUCGACCCCUGUUCGGUCCC